UCUGGCGACCAUAGCAGAGUGGAACCACCCCUUCCCUUCCCGAACAGGACCGUGAAACGCUCUCGCGCCGAUGAUAGUGCACUUCCGUGCGUGAAAGUAGGUCAUCGCCAGAC
rnacentral:rRNA from 1 species